CCUACGGGGGGCAGCAGUGAGGAAUAUUGGUCAAUGGGCGAGAGUCUGAACCAGCCAUGCCGCGUGCAGGAAGACGGAUCUAUGGUUUGUAAACUUCUUUUGUACGGGAAUAAAGUCAGGUACGCGUUUCUUUCUGUAUGUAUCAUAUGAAUAAGCAUCGGCUAACUCCGUGCCAGCAGCCGCGGUAAUACGGAGGAUUCAAGCGUUAUCCGGAUUUAUUGGGUUUAAAGGGUGCGUAGGCGGUUGAAUAAGUUAGAGGUGAAAGUCCGUGGCUCAACUUUGGAAUUGCCUUUGAUACUGGUUGACUAGAGAGUAGUUGCGGUAGGCGGAAUGUAUGGUGUAGCGGUGAAAUGCUUAGAGAUCAUACAGAACACCGAUUGCGAAGGCAGCUUACCAAGCUACUUCUGACGUUGAGGCACGAAAGCGUGGGGAGCAAACAGGAUUAGAUACCCGUGUAGUC
rnacentral:rRNA from 1 species